rnacentral:rRNA from 1 species
GGGGGNUGCGGAAGGAUCAUUA